rnacentral:rRNA from 1 species
CAAUAGCGUAUAUUAAAGUUGUUGCAGUUAAAAAGCUCGUAGUUGAAUUUCGGGUCCCCGCGCUCGGCGCUUCAUUGUGCCGUCGUGGUGUCCCUCCUCGCCGUAAGGCGUCCUUUACUGUGAAAAAAUUAGAGUGUUCAAAGCAGGCAAUCGCUUGAAUACAUUAGCAUGGAAUAAUAAGAUAGGAUCUUGUCUAUUUUGUUGGUUGCGGACAACGAUAAUGAUUAAUAGGGAUAGUUGGGGGUGUCCGUAUUGAGCUGUCAGAGGUGAAAUUCUUGGAUUUGCUCAAGACGAACUACUGCGAAAGCAUUCACCAAGGAUUUUUUCAUUAA